UACAGAGGGUGCAAGCGUUAAUCGGAAUUACUGGGCGUAAAGCGUGCGUAGACGGUUAUGUAAGUCAGGUGUGAAAGCCCCGGGCUCAACCUGGGAACUGCAUCUGUGACUGUAUAGCUAGAGUACGGUAGAGGGGGAUGGAAUUCCGCGUGUAGCAGUGAAAUGCGUAGAUAUGCGGAGGAACACCGAUGCGAAGGCAUCCCUGGACCUGUACUGACGCUCAUGACACGAAAGCGUGGGAGCAACAGG
rnacentral:rRNA from 1 species